rnacentral:piRNA from 1 species
UUUAAGAAGGUGUCUAGGGAUGU